UUACUCACUCUCACGUUUAAACAAUAUUCAAAAACCUAAGAAACCACCACUCACUCAUUCUCACGUUGUAGCUACUCAACUUCAAACACCUAAAAAUCACUUCGUUCUUCUCUUUGUUCAACCGUGUUCUGUUGCCAUCCCCGCAUCUUCGUCGGUGUUCUAUUGCCGCAAUCUCGCCGGAGCCUAUCGUUGUGGUCUUCUUCAUCUUCACACUUCAACUCAGGCUUCUUGCUACCCGAAACAGGAGCUUCAAGGAAAUCACCACCUUUUGCUUUGAUUGCUUGUAGAAAGAAGGUUUUUCAGUCGCAAUUAACACGUAUUAGAACUUGGAAUCGUAGUUCAUUCGGUGGUGAUAGGACUUUCCCUAGGAGCCUCGAGUAACACAUGCUCAAUAAAAGGUUUAGUUGCUGCACUUUGCGCUCAUCAAUUGUUUGAAGGCAUGGGUCUUGGUGGUAGCAUUCUUCAGGCUGCAUAUUGUCAGGUUGUCUCAGACUAUGUCCGUUGUCAGAUUUAUGGAGUUCCUCUAGGUGGAACAAUUGUACAACAACCGUUUGCUAUUGGAGGUUCCUGGAGCAAGUUCAUCGCGUGAGCCAAAGAAGAAAGAACAAGAGUCUCCAAAAGUUAUGACAGGAAGACGGGCAAUGAGGGCACAGAAAAGGGAAGCUGCUAAUAAGGCAGCUGAAGUGAAGCACCAGAAGCAUUUGGAUAGGUUGGGUAGGAACUAGGAUAUAUUAUUAUAGUAACAAGUUGUUCUAUGAAUUUGAAUUUGUCUUAUCUAAUGGCACCACUAUACACCAAAGAAAAAAAUAUCAUUAUAGUGGAUAAUAUAUAUAUUAACAAG